CAAGGUCAAAGUCCAACUGCAAGAUGGCGACUAGCCUUGUCUGUUUGACAGACAGUCGAAGUAGUUGUGAGUGGAAACAGGCUGUUGACUGGGAAACACUGACCGAAAAACCUAUCUAGUUUUGCCAAACUGCAGCUGAAAGUUCGAAGGAAAUCACUGUGACGGAUUUAAAGAAAGAAAAGAGGCCGAUCAUUGAGAAGAGAGGCCUAGAAAAGUUGACGUGUCACCGGAGAAUGCUAACAGAAGAAAAACCCUCCUCACACUUUCUCUCCCCUCUCAACAACAACAUUUAGCGCUAAACAAUCCGUUGAUCAUAUAAUACCACUUGCUAUUGGUCCUUCUUCCCCUCAUUACAAUAUUUGUCUAUCUUUCCAAUUAUCUUAUAUUUCUAUGUAUAAUCUAUGUAAUUAACUCACUAUAUAUAUAUAUAUAUAUAUAUAUAUUAGGAAUCAAACUUUACUGACAUAUAUAUAUAUAUCUGUUUAUCAUUCCUAUAUAUAUAAACAUAUACAAUAUUUUUUAUCUCUGUGGACAUGUUCAGACUUCAUACAAACAGUCUGUCAAUAUGAUGUGUGAGUAUAAUUAAGCACAUAUAAUAUAUACACACAACGCGCGCAUAUAACUUAUCUUCUCUUCCGAUAACGAACUGUUAAAUCGGUGAUCGGUCAGUAUCGCAGAACAGGGUCGAACCUACACACACCCACCUUAAUCAGACCGGUGAUAAAACUAUUGCUUGUAUCUCUCCAUGACCACCAACACCGCCGCCACCAUCAUCAUUACUCGGUCUCUCAUUCUUUUCUUCCUCGUGUCCAUGGAAGCAAAAACCGCUUCUCUCUAUUGUCCGUCACUGACCAAAAGGCGAAGUUGUCUCUGUCACACGACGCAUUCCCACCCAUCCCUAGGUUGAUCUCAUGAUGAUGAUGAUGACCAUGUUUACCAUCUACACUACUUCAAAUAACACAGCCACUGAUAUAUCAACACCCCAACCACAACAAACACUGUCAACAUCACCACCACCACCAUCGUCACCGAGAACUAGCUAAAUAUUUAACCAGUUAGCAACCACUACAAAAAGGCAAAACAUACAACCAUCGUUAUUGUGGUAAACUCUUCCUUUACUCCUACAUCAACCUAACAUUAAACUUAUCCAUACCACCAGUAUUUCCCAAGCAUACGUCUUCAGACCUCCAAAAGCAUAAAGAAAAAAAAACCCCCCGAAAAAACCCCCCAAAAAACAUACUGAAUUCCCAGUCCUGCCCCAUCUCACAACCGCUGCUCCCAUCCCUAAACCACUACUUUGGUAUUCAGUGGUCAUCUCGCCAUCCUAACUUGACCGGUGUGGAGGAGAACAAACAAAUAGAAAUAUAAAGAUUAUUGCGAGGUGCUCGGAACGACGAUAAAGAAGGAAGUUACUCACACCGCCAACAUCUCCCCGAACCUGUAGGUGUGAUUAGUGCGACACACAGACAGACAUAGGUGUGUAUGUAUACACAACUAGAUAUUUCUCUAUAUACACUUGUCUAUGGAUCUAUAACAUCUCAUGUGGAACUUGGUUUAAGAAGUUCCAAUGGAUUGUACAAAUCACUUCCAAAGCGGCCUUCAAGAAAACGUAAACUGUUGUCUCCGGCACUUCUUUCACAGAAAUUGCAGAGAUUAUGUCAUCGAGCCAGAAGGAACUAAUAGAACCCAAUACAAUUAAGUAAAAAGAAGAAAAAAAAAAGAAGAAAAAAAGAGACUCUCAUAAAUAUCUGAUCCACUUUCCACCUCAUCCAAAACCACUCACAACUGCUCUCCUCACAUGUUCACCUCUUCCUCCUCCUCCUCUAUUGGCUACCUAUAAUCCGUACAUCCCGUGGAUACACUUCAACACAAACGUCUCUACACACUACAGGCUUACAUCUGUCCAUCUGUCUAUACACUUUGUGAAAGUGUCUGUCUGUCUGUCUGUACGUAUAAAUUGCAUCCUGAAUCGGAGUGGAAAAAGUCAAACAAGUCUGGCAGUGGUAGUGGUGGUGUUAUAGCAGCAGCAGCAGUAGUAGUAGUAGUAAUAAUAGUAGUUGAUAUUGCACUUAAAAGCUGAGCAUUUGAUUAAGAAGGAGGAGGACAGGAGAGGUACUUGUAAAAUACCUUUUUUAGUAUCUACAAAGAGAGGGUGAGCGGGAUAUAUAAAUAUUAUAUAUAUAUAUAUAUAUAUAUAUAUAUAUAUAUGUAUAUAUAUAUGUGCGUAUACAUACAUAGAAGCAAAGGGGAUAAGCGGCUGUUAUUAUAGCUAUCAUCUACCUCCACUCUCUCUCUAUUUCAUUUCCUCUUACACCACUCCCAGUUGUCCCCCCCCCCCCCGCCGCCUCCCCCCUACACUGUCUCCACCACCACCACUGCUGCCGUCGCCGCCGCCGCAACCACCACCACCACCGGCGCCUCCACCACCAUCAGCUGGUACUUGCAAGAAUGUUGGGCAUUUGGGUCAGUGAUUUUAAACUGCAUAAAAAAUGAAGCUCCAGCUAGGUAAAUGUAAAUAAAUAAGAUAAAA